rnacentral:rRNA from 1 species
AACGAACGCUGGCGGCAGGCUUAACACAUGCAAGUCGAACGCGCCGCAAGGGGAGUGGCAGACGGGUGAGUAACGCGUGGGAAUCUACCCAGUUCUACGGAACAACUGAGGGAAACUUCAGCUAAUACCGUAUACGCCCUACGGGGGAAAGAUUUAUCGGAAUUGGAUGAGCCCGCUUUGGAUUAGCUAGUUGGUGAGGUAACGGCUCACCAAGGCGACGAUCCAUAGCUGGUCUGAGAGGAUGAUCAGCCACACUGGGACUGAGACACGGCCCAGACUCCUACGGGAGGCAGCAGGGGGGAAGAUUGGACAAGGGGCGCAAGCCUGAUACAGCCAUGCCGCGUGAGUGAUGAAGGCCUUAGGGUUGUAAAGCUCUUUCGCCGACGAAGAUAAUGACGGUAGUCGGAGAAGAAGCCCCGGCUAACUUCGUGCCAGCAGCCGCGGUAAAAC